rnacentral:rRNA from 1 species
GAUUAUGGCUCAGGAUGAACGCUAGCGACAGGCUAACACAUGCAAGUCGAGGGGCAGCAUAAAAGUAGCAAUACUUGGUGGCGACCGGCGCACGGGUGAGUAACGCGUAUGCAACCUACCUAUCAGAGGGGAAUAACCCGGCGAAAGUCGGACUAAUACCGCAUAAAACAGGGGCACCGCAUGGUGAUAUUUGUUAAAGAAAUUCGCUGAUAGAUGGGCAUGCGUUCCAUUAGGUAGUUGGUGAGGUAACGGCUCACCAAGCCGACGAUGGAUAGGGGAACUGAGAGGUUGGUCCCCCACACUGGUACUGAGACACGGACCAGACUCCUACGGGAGGCAGCAGUGAGGAAUAUUGGUCAAUGGGCGGGAGCCUGAACCAGCCAAGUCGCGUGAAGGAAGAAGGAUCUAUGGUUCGUAAACUUCUUUUGCAGGGGAAUAAAGUGCAGGACGUGUCCUGUUUUGUAUGUACCCUGAGAAUAAGGAUCGGCUAACUCCGUGCCAGCCGCCGC